UUUUCCCUACGGGACGCAGCAGUGAGGAAUAUUGGUCAAUGGGCGGGAGCCUGAACCAGCCAAGUCGCGUGAGGGACGACGGUCCUAUGGAUUGUAAACCUCUUUUGUCGGGGAACAAAGGCGUCCACGGGUGGGCGGAUGAGUGUACCCGAAGAAAAAGCAUCGGCUAACUCCGUGCCAGCAGCCGCGGUAAUACGGAGGAUGCGAGCGUUAUCCGGAUUUAUUGGGUUUAAAGGGUGCGGAGGCGGGCUGUCAAGUCAGCGGUAAAAAUGCGGUGCUCAACGCCGUACAGCCGUUGAAACUGG
rnacentral:rRNA from 1 species